UCGAGACUCUGCUUUUGGCCAUGCUUUGCUGCCAUUUGGCAAGGCGACCCUGGCCUUGUGUGCUUAGAGUCAUCUGACCGACGAUGGCCGGAAGCUGACUAUGACAGAGGCUUGAGAUAUUGCAGAUAGGGUUGGGGAAGGUCAAAAUAAUUAGUCAUUGGAGAUGAUAUGAGGAAAGGAAGGAGGCGGAGGCUGGGGGAGUGGGUGCAACAGAAACAGUUCUAGUGUUGGAGCCGAGGAAGCCAACUCUGAAACAUUUGGACCUUUGUUGUCUGACAUCGCUUUUGCCACUCCUUCUUCUUUCCUCCCACCUUUACCUUCCCCACCACCUCCUCCAAACUCCCCUGCCCUCUAUCUCUGGCCCCACUGAUGACCCCUCCAUGUGAGUCGUAGGCUUUUACUACCCAUGAUUUCUUUUCUCCAAGCAAAAGAAAGAAGAGUUUAUUUCAUUCUCAGCAGCAUCCCUGGCCAGCCUCGUCAAAGGCUGUCAAACAAACACAUUGCUAGGAGGAUCACCUCAACCUGUAGGAACUUCCUUCCUGCCAAGAAGCUGGUUCAUUCAUCACCAAGCAUCAUCAUCAUGGAAUUCUCACCCUGCUGGAGGUUCGAGCCAAGACAUAGAAAGAGGACAUUACCUGGGGCAGGAAUCAAUUGCCUAUCACUGGGGAUGCCUGCAGAUCAUUGUCCAGAGUGGCUGCUGUUCACUGAGUGUUUCCUCUGUGCCGGGCACCUUGCACACCUUAUUUUCAGUCUCCGCAGCUGCCUUGUUGAGGUUGGCUCUCUAUGCUUCUGUUUCACAGUUGGGGAAACUGAGGUUCAGAGAUGUGAAUUAAUUUUCUCAAAGUAACAUUAGGUAUUGGUAAGAUUUCAUUUAUCCAUUCACUAUUAAAUAUUAUUAAGUAAUUACAGUGCUUUAAGAACUCCAUGUAAAUGGUGGAUUUGAGGCCAAACUUUAAAAGCUGAAUUACAUAAGGAGUUAACAUUGCAAAAAGCUUAGAAAUUUAUGUUCCAGGUGGAGCGAACAGAGGUUGUGUCUUUUCGGUUACAAGUAAUAAAAUCCAGAGGCUAUCUCAAGGGAAAAAUAAAGCACUAGAUGGUCUACCAAAGAUAGAGGGGCAGGUGGAUUUUGGGAAGGGGCAAGAGUGAACAGCUAGAAAAAUGUGGCUUACGUUUUCUGUCUUAUCUGCCCCUUAGCUUCAUAACUUUCUUUUUCUCAUGUGUAGAGUGAUCAAAGAUGACCACCACCAAACUUUCAUAUUAAAGAUUAAAACACAAAAAUAGGCCAGACAGAGUGGCUCAUGCCUGUAAUCCCAGCAUCUUGAGAGGGUGAGGCAGAAGGAUCGCUUGAGCCCAGGAGUUUAGGUUCAGCCUGGGCAACAUAGCAAGAUCCUGUCACUAUAAAUAGUAACAAGAUUAGGUGGACAUUAUGGUUCAUACCUGUGGUCCCAGCUCUUCAGGGGGCUGAGGCAGGAAGAUCCCUUGAGCUCAGAAGUUUGAGG
rnacentral:lncRNA from 1 species